GCCGGCCCUCGGCACUCGCCCAUGGCCGGCGGGACUGCACCACAAGGGGCGGUGGAAGGGGAAUGGCCGCGGCCGCUCCGCCCCCGGGGACGGCUCGGUAACUGCGUAACACACAGGCAGCUUGUGAAGGGCCUGUGAGCGUGCGUAUGAUUAAUAUUUGUUUCUGUCCCUUCUUGCAAGCUGAGAGAUCUCAUCCAGAGCUGGGAACCAUCAGAGUUCCCUAGUUUCCUCUUUCCCUCCUCAUCCCGAAGGUGGCCAGGCCCUCGGGCACCUUUUCUGUAGACAUGUGAGUCCUGUACCAAAAUAACCAGUCCUAUAGGAGAGAAGAAAGGCCCCACCGAAUGGAUACAGCAGUUUGUCACAGAGACCUGAAAUCAAAGAUGCAAAUCUAAAAACAAACGCCAGUGAGAACUAAAAGGUUUUCAGCAUCAAGACCGGCAGCACGUAAGCAGGACUGACCCACUCUUUGGAGGCCAGUCCUCUGGAGCCGAGUGUGGUCCCUUGAAGAGGAGGAGAAGGAAGACAUGGAAGCCUGGUGAUCCUCAGUGGAAAUGAGUCCGUAAAGACUGUUCACCCUCCCUGUGACUGCUGCCCAGUGCUCCCCAGUCCAAGUGCGGGCCAAACAUCCUCAGCCCCCCUGCAGCCAGGGAAAGGACACGGUGCACAGGACACCUGGCUGCCACAGUGACUGAGGCCUCCCCUUUCUCCCUUCCCAAGCAUGGGAAGUGGGAGUUGGGCCAGCUGGGCUCCUCUGGACUGCAUCUGCUUCCUACAGCUUUUUUAUGCCUUGUGAGAGAAAGUCAAGCCUCACCAGGGCAGGAGAUAAGAAAAGUGGUGAAAUCUGUGCAGCACACCUGAGUAAGCAUGAGAACAGCUCUGGUUUUCUUACAUGGGAGUUUUCUGAGGUGCAGAAACACCUGCCUAAGCAGCAAGUUACUAAAGAGCGCACCAGAACACAGAAACAGUAAAUGAGAAAAGGUGGUUUCACACUAACAACAUCCGCUGUUACCUGAGUACUGCUCUUUCUGAGACAGCCUUUAAGUUUUAUUACCCAGAGAUACCUGUACAAGUUGUUUAAUCUUCAUAUCCAAAACCACUCCACUUGUGUAUUGAAUACCAGAGAUUUCAGCUUUUUGUCCAGAGCACAAAAUUAGAGGGACACUGAUGCAGAGCAAACCUGACUCAUUUACACUGGCAAAGUCUACUGGUGUGUGUAAUAGAGCACGAUGGUGGUAAGAGGGAGAUGCGUGAAUUUCUGGGCCAAAACCAACAAGCGGCAGACUAUUCGUAUUAAAUGACAUCAACAUGCCUGGCAGUUGUCUUUGUCCCCUAACCUGAUUAUCUUGGCUGCUGUUUCAGAAUUCCCCAAAUGAUGGAAUGUCCUGUUCUAACAAGGUUUAAGCACUACCACAAAUUAAUACAAUUAGCAAAAGAUAGGAAUUAAAUUAUUUGGAGAUAACUUCUUAAACUCACACCUGCCCUUUUACCAACACACAGCAAAAGUCUAUUUACAUGGUGUCUGAAGAUUCAUAUACAAAGGAAAAAUACUGCAAAGGAAAUGUACCUCAAGGAUUAACAAAAGAGUAGUUGGCUGUUCUUGCACCUCCACAGAAAUUCACCAACUUCUGUUAGUUUUGUUUUAUAUAAAUUAAUUAAAUCACGUACACAACACUGAAAAGCACUUGUGGAACUAUAGAAGAGUUUACAAGCCGAAUAAACAUACAUAUGCAAUAUUGCAUUAUGCUCAGUUUUGCAAAAUUCCACAUUACUCAGCUGUACCUACAAUGCCCUGUUUAGAACAAGCUCCCUGCUGGGGGCAUGGAAGCUGUAGUCCUUCCUUAGCUCCCAAAUGCCAGGUGUCAUGGCAGUGGUCCUGCCCCGGCCCUCACGGCCCAGUACCUGCGCUGAUCACAACAAGCACAUGUGCUGGGAGUUGUGGAGGUGUUUCUGCAUGGGGAGGGACUCUGAUCCACAGGACCACGUCCACUGCAGAAAGCAUGGCACAACUCUUGGAGGUGCAGGACACUCCACAGCAGGGAGGGAAGAAGACCCAUGAGAACAGGCCCUCCCAAGGGUGGCCUGCGGCUCCACAACAGCUCUCUCACUCCGGUAAUUGCAAUUAAUGAAGGUGCAGCAGCAGCACACAUUGUUAGGACACUACUGGACAGACACAGACCUAACAGGCUCACUAGCACAGCUUUGCAUGCCCAAAGCUUGCACUUUCACAGAAAGGCCAAGUCCCCAAAUUUUAUCUAAGGCAUUCCAAUUGCUGCUUUAACUAUAAUGCCUCUUCCCUUCCUCCCCCAAAAACUGUUACUUUUUUGGGGAAUACUUAGCUGCCUUUUAAAAAUGGUUUAUAAAAUUCUUUUUUUUAUAUGAAAAUACCAUUUUAGUCAAACUGAAAAUUUUUCAUUUACAAAUUAGAGUCAAAUCUGCUUUUCAGCUUAGUACUGUUUACUGUAGGAAAAUCAAUUUCUGAAUAAUUUCAGUAUGUCUAAAGCAUAAAAUUCCCCUAAAUCUCCUAGCGGAGAAACCUUAUCUUAGGUUGUGGCAACACGCUAUUUUCCAGGAGGUUCACAUGACUACAGUAUUCAAGCAUAGGCAUUUGUGUUAGCUGCCACAGCCACUGGACAAAGGGAUACUGAAAAGUUUCACCAUUAUAGAAAAACAGUCCUGAAACACCUGGGAGCAACCAAGUGCCUUGUUAUACUAAAGUCUAUUACUAUGAUAGUAACUCACGGUGAUAAUAGACAAAAAACACCUUUAUAUUAAGCCAUUGGCAAAGGGGGGAAAAUAGUCUUUCACAGGAUUGUGUUUCAAGCAAGACAUCCUCAAGGUUUUUUUGUGGACAACUCCACAAAAAAAUCCUUAAGAGAUAUAAAAAAUUUAAAAGCCCUUCAUGCUUCUCAAUUUAGCAAAUCUGCUGAGUAAGAUACUCAAAGAGCUGCAAAUGAAAACCACGAAAGCAAUUUCCAACUAGCAAAAAGGAUGCAUCAGAGCUCCUGAUGAUGCUAAGAAGUCCUGUCAGGCAAGGACUACACUGUGAUGGAGGCCAGAUUCCAGCUGUGAAGCCUGUUGGCAUCCUCCCCACACAGACCAUGUGGGAACUUCCAGCACUGUGAGUUCAAGGACUGUAGUCACUGAAGCUUUCACAUGACCCAUUCACCUACCCAUUUUAAAUGCGUGUGGACAUUCAUUCCACCUCAGGGUAAGUUAAUGCUACAAGUGCUGAAAUGCAGUUAAUCCAAACUUGCAGAAUUUUCUAUUUGACUUUGGCAGACCUGUUAUUAAAUAGGCAACCUGAGGAGUUCAGAAAAAAGGUCAAAUCCUAGAAAGCUUGAAAAGAGAAAGGGAAUCAGAGCUACUGAGCAAGGUAUCUGUAGUUUGCCCUACAGAGUGGAAGCCAGAGAAAUGCAAGUGUCAGUGAAGCAAGGAGUACAAACGCAGAAGCAGCUCAGAAUGGCAUUUACAGAUGCACACACAAGAGACAUGGUCCACAGGUCAUAGGACACUAUAAAAAGGGAGUUAGGGCACAGCAAUGAGCAUCUGAAGAGGAGGUUACUACAAACCUACUGAACAAUCUUUCAUGUGGUGUUAAGAGUGACCAAGAGCCAUGCUGAAUUUGGGCUCCCCUGAGAAACCAACUCAUGGGAGGUGGUAGUGGUGACUGGGGAACUUCUCCCACCUGCACAGCAACUACCUGCUCCCUACACACUUCUCUUCAGAUCCACAUGUGGAAGUAAGCUUUUGAAAAACAGCAGGUCUCUAUAAUUUGCACAAUUGCAAAGAUAAACAUAGCUUAAGAGAUGAGGGAAAUUUCCUUUCCUCUGCUUCCCUGAAUGCUGCUGUACAAGGGUGUUGCUUUGGAUUCACAAAUUUACCAGUUUACCAGUUAUCUAAUGACCAAAUGACUAACUUGCAGGAAGAAAAGGCACUCCCAAAUCAAACAGAUGAGAAAGGCCACAUGAUGUCAAGUAAGUCUAUACAAUUUUUCACUCCUGGAAAAUUAUCAAAGCUGGAGCAAGCGAUUACCUUCUGUAUUGGAUACAGCUAAAACCAGAAACCAACACCAAGAAUUAGCCAUGGAAGUUAGAACUACAGUGUCAGUUUUCCCUAGAUUCAGAUUAGGAACUACUCUAGUAGUUGAGCAUAACAUUUUAUUAGUAGCUACCUUUAUCUCCUCUUUCAGCAGUUAUGAACAGCUGGGGAUUUAGACUAUUAAAAAAGUCUAAACAUUACAAAAUUUUCCUUUAGCUAGUUUCUUUACCACAUUUUAAGUGAACUAACAGAAGGGCUUAAGUCAAAGGGAAAGGAGGUGUAUGAUUUUAAUAAACAUUUUUCUUAUUAAAAUCUUGAUAUAGUUUAUACCAUACAGAGGAAAAAAAGCUAUUUAUAAAGCUACAUACACAUUUCAAGUCAAUGAUGACAGCAUAAAUCAUUCUAAAUUCCCUCCCUGCUUAUCAGAAUGCCUUGUGUGUGUAUAUAUGGUGAGCUACUGUGCUAUCUGCAUAACUUUUGUCUAGCUAUACAUUACAGGACUUAAAAAAUGUUUAAGCUAUAUACAGAAAUAUAUAUACAUAUAACAUAUAUUUAUAUGUUAUACAUACACAUACACUUAUAUACAUAUACACACAAUACAUAUAUAUAUAUACACAGUACUUUACAUGUAUAUAUGGCCUUUCAUCCAAGGGCAUUGGAUACUUUUUAGUACAUCAAGCCUCACAAAGCUUUGUGAGGGAGGGAGCUUUAUUUUACAGACUGUAGAUUUGAUGCCUAUUCUAAACAGUUUCUUUUGUUGCUUUCCACUAAGUUUACACAUUUCAGUUAGAGGCGAUUUUGGUAGUAGAAGUAAUCACACCAGUUUGAAAUCCUGGCAUAAGGUGUAUGUUGCUCUGUACCUUUGUAACUCACUCUCCUUAGUAUUAAAGAGCAGCCAUACCAAACACCUCUAUCUAGAUUUGCGAGGCUGUACUGCUUUUUAUUUUUAAUUGAUACUAACAUAGUAAAAUCUGAUAAGUUUUGAACUUAAGGUACACUGGAAAGGUACAACAGGAAAUCUCGAACAGCCUCCAAUCCUCGUAUAUUGAAACUAUCCUUUUCUAGGAUGAUUGAUUUAGAGGAAGUAUUAGUACCUGCAGAAAUAAUUCUACAUCUAUUUAUUUAAUUUAUCUGCAGUUUAACUACACAAGCCCGAAACAGCCUUACUUAGAAAACAGGAUUUUUAGCAACAAUUUGGCAACUGGUGAUGAGACUGUUGUACUGUACUCCAUAUCUCUAGCAACUAAAUAAAUGAUGAAAACAGAGGCUUUUUUUGAAAAUCAGAUGUAGGUAACUUCUGGUCAUCCUCAGACUAGCUGACAGAAAGGAAGACCCACUGGAGCUCUGGCAAAGGUGAGUUCAACUCGGAUUUUGAUGGAACAUAAUUUUAGCUCUUCCCAACAAAAGGAAAUAAAAAAACCCACUAACAUGGACUCAUGGGGUUGGAAAAGCAAGAAAGAGGGAGAACAUCAGCACCACAAAACCUCUUACCCCUUCAAUACUUCAGUCUGCUAAGCUUUCAGAAAUUUGUUUUGACACAGAAAAAGUAUCUUCCUCCUUUAUUAAUCAAUUCCUAUCUCUCAAAAAUCUCUCAAGCCUUAGGGAAAAGAAGUCAUAGGUCAAAGACUGCCCUCCCCAAAAGCAACCAACCACUUCAAAAGUGAACAUAAAAUGCGGUUUGAGAAUUUUAUUCUAACCUAAUUACCUUGAGAUUUUUCAGAACAAGCCACUUUUCCUUCAAAUCAAUUCUGUGAAAAGAAGGGGUUGCCUGGCCCAUUUCUUUCAGGAUUCUCUGCUAACUGUAAAAUGUGGGCUGAAUGUCUUCUGCAUGUCAAUUUUUCAGCUACAAAAUUCAGAUUUUUAAUGAACAACUAUGUUUAAUGUAUGCUGUUAGCUGAAGUAUAAAUGGCUAAAUAAAUAAAAACUAUUGUUUCCUCAGUA